GAGCUGUGAGGAAGCCACAAAAACUUGCUGACCUGCAUCUGGAGACGGUCAGAUCCAACUCUGAGCUCACUGUUCUU